GAAGUUGACGGAGCACGCCGCGUGAGUGAUGAAGGUUUUCGGAUCGUAAAACUCUGUUGUUAGGGAAGAACAAGUCCAUAGUAACUGAUGGCACCUUGACGGUACCUAACCAGAAAGCCACGGCUAACUACGUGCCAGCAGCCGCGGUAAUACGUAGGUGGCAAGCGUUGUCCGGAAUUAUUGGGCGUAAAGCGCUCGCAGGCGGUUCUUUAAGUCUGAUGUGAAAUCUUACGGCUCAACCGUAAACGUGCAUUGGAAACUGGGGAACUUGAGUGCAGAAGAGGAGAGUGGAAUUCCACGUGUAGCGGUGAAAUGCGUAGAGAUGUGGAGGAACACCAGUGGCGAAGGCGACUCUCUGGUCUGUAACUGACGCUGAGGAGCGAAAGCGUGGGGAGCGAACAGGAUUAGAUACCCUGGGUAGUCCACGCCGUACACGAUGAGUGCUAGGUGUUACGGGGUCUUCGCCCCUUAGUGCUGACGUUAACGCAUUAAGCACUCCGCCUGCGGAGUACGGCCGCAGGCUGCAACUCCCGAGCAUUGACGGGGGCCCGCACAAAC
rnacentral:rRNA from 1 species